rnacentral:lncRNA from 1 species
GUAAAACUCAGGAAAGUAUGGGGGACUCAGAGACUAGGCUUUCAGGAGUUUUUUUUUUAAAUUAAAUUAUUUAUAUAUUCUAAUUUCUUAUACCUGAUGGCAGAAUACAAUUCAUUUCAUAUUACACAUAUAGAGCACAAUUUUUCAAGUCACUGAUUGUACACAAAGUAUUUUCAUACAGUUCAUGUCUUCAUACAUGUACUUAGGGUAAUGAUGUCUAACUCAUUCCACAGUCAUUCUUUCCCCCUUGCCCCUCCUUUCCCCUCUCUCCCCUAUCUAAAGUUCCUCCAUUCCUCCCAUGCUCCAUCCCCUCCCUCCCCCCAUUGCCAUUAUGAGUCAGCAUCCUCAUAUCAAAGAAAACAUUUGGCCUUUGGUUUUUUGGGAUUGGCUUGCUUCACUUAGCAUUAUAUUCUCCAGCUUCAUCCAUUUACCUGCAAAUGCCAUGAUUUUAUUCUCUUUUAAUGCUGAGUAAUGUUCAUAUAUAUAUAUAUGUAUAUAUAUAUAUAUAUAUAUAUAUAUAUAUAUAUAUAUAUAUAUAUAUAUAUACCAAAGUUUCUCUAUCCAUUCAUCUACUGAAGGGCAUCUGGGUUGGUUCCAUAAUUUAGCUAUUGUGAAUUGUGCUGCUAUAAACAUCGAUAUGACUAUGUCCCUGUAGUAUGCUGUUUUUAUCUCUCAAGUUAGUUCUUGCUUAUUCUUUAGCAGUUGGUUAUUUACCUUUUAAGUUCCUGCUGGGCUCUAACUGCAGCUUCUGCCCCAUGUGAGCUAUAGGUUUCUGCCUCUGCUUGUAUCUCUAGCUUUCAGGGUAACAGUUUGCAUUGUAACUUCAGUUCUCCAAUGGAUCUAAGAAAUAUUGUUGAUUUUCAGUGUGUGCAGCCUUUCUCUCUCUCUCUUGCAGUACUGGAGAUGGAACCUAGGCCCUCGCUCAUGCUAGGCAAGUGCUCCACCACUGAGCCACAUCCCAGACAUCUUUCUUUCUUUCUUGUUUUGAAGUUGAGAAUGAUGAGUUCUAAGCUCUUUACAUGAUAGACCAGAAACUGGAAGUCAAUGCUAUUGAUUUCUCUGUGUUAAUUUUAUAUCCUGCUAUCUUACAAAAUUCUUUUAUUGUUUGAAUUGUUGUAUCAUUGAUUUUCUAGGUUUUUUUUCAUGUUUGCAAUUCUGUCAUCUACAAAUAGAGAUAUAAUUGCAUUUUCAGUUUUCAUUUCCUUAUGCCUUUAAUUGUUUUCUCUAGUCAAAUUGUAUUGACUAGUACCAAUGGAAUACCUUGCUCAAUAGUUGUGAAGAUUGUGGACAUUUUGCCUUGUUUCUGACUUUAAUGGGAUUGUUCUUGGAUUUUCUCAUCAAAUAAGAUGCUGGAUUUUGGAUGGAACUGUAUGUAUCUUGGCAUAUGUUUUAAAAUGCAGUUUUAAUUAUUUUUAACUAUGGCAAGACCAACAGAUUAGAAGAGUUUCAUUUAGAAGGUAGUUUGUUAUAGUCAUAGAUUCCAAUAACAUGGGGCAUGCUACUUGGGGAAGCCACAGGGCAUCAGGAGGCAGAGGAAGAAGGGAACAAUGUGGACAAGAGCAUUUAUUUUGGGAAGGAAUUGGCCAGGGGUGAUAAGCAGGCCUACGAUUAGCUAGUUUGAAUAAUUUCAAUAGGUUUGGCAUAGGACUGAUGCUAGUUGUCUGAUGCCUGUCGUGGAAUGAUUAGUACAGGUCAAUAGUAGCCCAGAAUUCAGGAGUCCAG